rnacentral:SRP_RNA from 1 species
GUGGACGAGCCACUCGCCAACCGGGUCAGGUCCGGAAGGAAGCAGCCCUAACGAGGUCCGGAUCGGGUCGC